GUGAAUCAUCGAAUCUUUGAACGCAAAUUGCACUCUCUGGUAUUCCGGAGAGUAUGCCUGUUUGAGGGUCAGUUUAAAUAAAAAUCGGAGUGGUUGCUGCCUUCCGUGGUGACGCACCGGGUUUGGGUCGUCUUGCUUUCGGUUAAGUGAUCUAAAAUUUUGCAUGAUUUUUUUGGAACGUAUUUAAAUGGUUUUAUGUACGUUUGCGGUAUGGAAUAGUAGGUGUGGUUAUACU
rnacentral:misc_RNA from 1 species